AUUGAACGCUGGCGGCAUGCCUUACACAUGCAAGUCGAACGGUAACAGGUCUUCGGAUGCUGACGAGUGGCGAACGGGUGAGUAAUGCAUCGGAACGUGCCCAGUAGUGGGGGAUAGCCCGGCGAAAGCCGGAUUAAUACCGCAUACGACCUGAGGGUGAAAGGGGGGGAUCGCAAGACCUCUCGCUAUUGGAGCGGCCGAUGUCAGAUUAGCUAGUUGGUGGGGUAAAGGCCUACCAAGGCAACGAUCUGUAGUUGGUCUGAGAGGACGACCAGCCCCACUGGGACUGGGACACGGCACAGACUCCGACGGGAGGCAGCAGUGGGGAAUUUUGGACAAUGGGCGCAAGCCUGAUCCGGCAAUGCCGCGUGCAGGAAGAGGGCGUUCGGGUUGUAAACUGCUUUUGUCAGGGAAGAAAUCUUCUGGGUUAAUACCUCGGGAGGAUGACGGUACCUGAAGAAUAAGCACCGGCUAACUACGUGCCAGCCGCCGCAGUAACAC
rnacentral:rRNA from 1 species